rnacentral:rRNA from 1 species
UACGGAGGGUGCGAGCGUUAUUCGGAAUUACUGGGCGUAAAGCGCGUGUAGGCGGCAGGGCAAGUCUGGUGUGAAAGCCCGGGGCUCAACCCCGGAAGUGCAUUGGAAACUGCUCUGCUUGAGUACCGGAGAGGAAGGGGGAAUUCCCGGUGUAGCGGUGAAAUGCGUAGAUAUCGGGAGGAAUACCAGUGGCGAAGGCGCCCUUCUGGACGGUUACUGACGCUGAGAAGCGAAAGCUAGGGGAGCAAACAGG